AUCUGGGAGGCCACAAACCAUGGAAGCUGUACGCAUGGCGUAGUGGACUAGCGGUUAGAGGAGACCCCUCCCUUGCAAGUCGCAGCAACAAUGGGGGCCCAAGGUGAGAUGAAGCUGUAAUCUCACUGGAAGGACUAGAGGUUAGAGGAGACCCCCCCGAAAUAAAAAACAGCAUAUUGACGCUGGGAAAGACCAGAGAUCCUGCUGUCUCCUCAGCAUCAUUCCAGGCACAGAACGCCAGAAAAUGGAAUGGUGCUGUUGAAUCAACAGGUU
rnacentral:lncRNA from 1 species